ACCUAUCACCACGCUCCUGCAAUACUUCAUGACACUUUCUUUAGCAUCAGGAAAUUUAUCUCAACAUGUGGAGUAAUGCUGUUGGUUGCUGUGAAUUCCAUUUUUACGGCUUUGUCAUCAUGAACUUUUCAGUGUCCUUCUUAGAAAAGAGAACGCAGUUUCUUUGUGGAAUCGUGUGGUCCUGGCACGGAGAUUCUUGAGCCAACGCUGGCUUUUGUCCAUGACCAACGUUCUGCUCCAUCCUUAUCUUCCCGACGUAAGCUCAUCCAGAUUCUGCUUCAUCGCUUCGUACACAAAAAUACAACUUGUCUUACUUCACUGACGAGUUGGAACACUUCAGUGGUCGCUUCCGUGCCGCUGUUACACACCUGCAGUCAUUCACCACGGGAUUAUGCCCAGGUAAUGCAGAGGAGACGUCGAGAAGAUGGACAC